UACAGAGGUCUCAAGCGUUGUUCGGAUUCAUUGGGCGUAAAGGGUGCGUAGGUGGCGGGGUAAGUCAGGUGUGAAAUCUCGGGGCUCAACCCCGAAACUGCACUUGAUACUGCCUUGCUCGAGUACUGGAGAGGAGAUUGGAAUUUACGGUGUAGCAGUGAAAUGCGUAGAUAUCAGGAAGAACACCAAUGGCGAAAGCAGCUCUCUGGGACGGUACUGACGCUGAGACGCGAAAGCGUGGGGAGCGAACAGG
rnacentral:rRNA from 1 species